rnacentral:rRNA from 1 species
UGAAUACGAGAUGCUACGGCGUCGAAGCAGUGUAUGUCAGACUUCCAAGAAAAGCUCGCAAUGUCAUAAAUAAAGAAUGCCUGUACCAUAACCGACACAGGUGGGUAGGUAGAGUAUACUAAGGGGCGCGAGAUAACUCUCUCUAAGGAACUCGGCAAAAUAACUCCGUAACUUCGGGAGAAGGAGUGCCUUCUUUAAGAAGGUUGCAAUAACAAGAUCCAAGCAACUGUUUAUCAAAAACACAGGUCUCCGCUAAGUCGUAAGACGAUGUAUGGGGGCUGACGCCUGCCCAGUGCCAGAAGGUUAAAGAAGCUGGUUAGCAAUAGCGAAGCUGGUGACUGAAGCCCUGGUGAACGGCGGCCGUAACAAUAACGGUCCUAAGGUAGCGAAAUUCCUUGUCGGGUAAGUUCCGACCCGCACGAAAGGCGUAAUGAUUUGGAUACUGUCUCGGAGAGGGACUCGGUGAAAUAGACUUGUCUGUGAAGAUGCGGACUACCUGCACCAGGACAGAAAGACCCUAUGAAGCUUUACUGUAACCUGAAAUUGAAAUUGGACUUUAUUUGCGCAGUAUAGGUGCAGGCGUUGAGAGUAAUCUUGCGGGAUUAGUGGAGCCAUCAGUGAGAUACCACUCCUAUAAUGUUAGAUUUCUAACUUUGGAUCAUGAUCUGGUCAAAGAACAGUUUCAGGCGGGCAGUUUGACUGGGGCGGUCGCCUCCCAAAUGGUAACGGAGGCGUACAAAGGUUUCCUCUGAACGGGUAGAAAUCGUAUCUAGAGUGUAAAGGCAUAAGGAAGCUUGACUGUGAGACCUACAAGUCGAGCAGGGACGAAAGUCGGUCUUAGUGAUCUGACGGUGCUGAGUGGAAAGGCCGUCACUCAACGGAUAAAAGUUACUCUAGGAUAACAGGCUGAUCUCCCCCAAGAGUUCACAUCGACGGGGAGGUUUGGCACCUCGAUGUCGGCUCAUCGCAUCCUGGGGCGGUAGUACGUCCCAAGGGUUGGGCUGUUCGCCCAUGAAAGCGGUACGCGAGCUGGGUUCAGAACGUCGUGAGACAGUUCGGUCCAUAUCCGGUGUAGGCGUUAGAAUAUUGAGAGGAGCCUUCUCUAGUACGAGAGGACCGAGAAGGACAUACCUCUGGUGUACCAGUUAUCGUGCCAACGGUAAACGCUGGGUAGCUAUGUAUGGAGAGGAUAACCGCUGAAAGCAUCUAAGUGGGAAGCCCACCUCAAGAUGAGUAUUCUC